GAUGAACGCUGGCGGCGUGCUUAACACAUGCAAGUCGAGCGAAGCACUUAAGUUUGAUUCUUCGGAUGAGGACUUUUGUGACUGAGCGGCGGACGGGUGAGUAACGCGUGGGUAACCUGCCUCAUACAGGGGGAUAGCAGUUAGAAAUGGCUGCUAAUACCGCAUAAGACCACAGUACUGCAUGGUACAGUGGUAAAAACUCCGGUGGUAUGAGAUGGACACGCGUCUGAUUAGGUAGUUGGUGAGGUAACGGCCCACCAAGCCGACUAUCAGUAGCCGACCUGAGAGGGUGACCGGCCACAGUGGGACUGAGACACGGCCCAGACUCCUACGGGAGGCAGCAGUGGGGAAUAUUGCACAAUGGGGGAAACCCUGAUGCAGCGACGCCGCGUGAGCGAUGAAGUAUUUCGGUAUGUAAAGCUCUAUCAGCAGGGAAGAAAAUGACGGGACCUGACUAAGAAGCACCGGCUAAAUACGUGCCAGCCGCCGCCGUAA
rnacentral:rRNA from 1 species